CUUAAAAUCUGUAGUUCUUUAAAGAACUACCGAGUUGUAGCUUUUGGAAGCAGUAAAAAAUUGAUUUUUUAUUUUUCCAUCAAGUCUUUUAGGUAUUACCUAGUUGGGCAAAAGUUCUUUUGAAUAAGACAUCAAAGAGGGUGAUAAUCCCGUAUUUGUGGCCCCAGGCUUGGUGGUGGGAAAAAAUAAGAUUUCCUAAAUUUAUAAGCUGUCUUUCUGUGAGUCGGGUUGUUUGGGAAUGCAGCCCUAAUUAGGAGGUAAAUUUCUUCUAAAGCUAAAUAUAAGCAAGAGACCGAUAGCAUACAAGUACCGUGAGGGAAAGAUGAAAAGCACUUUGAAAAGAGAGUGAAAUAGUACGUGAAAUUGUUGAAAGGGAACCAGUUGGUUCUGGCCAUUACUUUUUUUAGGAUUUUUUUCGGAAAAUUCUAAAGAAUAAAAAGUCAACAUCAGUUGUAGAUUUCGUUAGAAAAGGGGGUAGUUUUUUAAGAAAGGUAGGAGGAAUACAAUAUUUCGUAUUUAUAUGGAAUUUUUCUCUGUUACAGUCUUGAAAUUAUUAUUUUUAACCUUUGUGAAUGAAUACGACUGAGGAAAAUGGUGUGUAGUACUCUAUUUUAUAGAGUGCAAGUCAUUUUUAAUUUUGAAUUUUUGGGUGAUUAUGUUUUAGACAGCCUGGCUGACUUUAGUGUAAUUGAUUAUUUUUCCUGAUUUUUUGAUUUUAUAUGAACUAAUAACACCUUGGAUGUUGAUUAAGUUUUUCUUAAUGGCACUAACUGACCCGUCUUGAAACACGGACCAAGGAGUUCAACAUGCAUGCGAGUAUAUGGGCAGAAUUCUCUCUCGAGUAUUCAAAUUAUAAACCCAGAUGCGUAGCGAAAGCAAAUUAGGAUUAUAAAUAAUUCUUAUAGAGUGCCAAAAACUGUAAAAGGUUUGGCAGCACCAACCAACUUUAGAUAGCGUCGCUUGAAGAAGUUGAGUAAGAGCAUGUAUGCUGAGACCCGAAAGAUGGUGAACUAUGCCUGAAUAGAGUAAAGUCAGAGGAAACUCUGAUGGAAGCUCGUAGAGAUUCUGACGUGCAAAUCGAUCUCCAAAUUUGGGUAUAGGGGCGAAAGACUAAUCGAACCAUCUAGUAGCUGGUUCCUGCCGAAGUUUCCCUCAGGAUAGCAGAGACUUGUUUUAAGCAGUUUUACGAGGUAAAGCGAAUGAUUAGAGGCCUUGGGGCUGUAAUAGCCUUAACCUAUUCUCAAACUUUAAAUGCGUAAGAAGAUUUAGUUUCUUAAUCUGAACUAACAUCUCUUUGAAUGCAAUUAGUCUCUAGUGGGCCAUUUUUGGUAAGCAGAACUGGCGAUGCGGGAUGAACCGAACGUAGAGUUAAGGUGCCUAAAUGUCACGCUAAUUUAGAUACCAUAAAAGGUGUUAGUUCAUCUAGACAGCAGGGCGGUGGCCAUGGAAGUCGGAAUCCGCUAAGGAGUGUGUAACAACUCACCUGCCGAAUGAACUAGCCCUGAAAAUGGAUGGCGCUUAAGCGUGCUACCGAUACUCUACCGCUAAAUUUAAUUUUGAUUAAUUUAGCGAGUAGGCAGGCGUGGGGGUUUGUAUAGAAGCUGUAGGGUGUAAACUCCAGUGGAACAACC
rnacentral:rRNA from 1 species